GACGAACGCUGGCGGCGUGCUUAACACAUGCAAGUCGAGCGGUAAGGCCUCUUCGGGGGUACACGAGCGGCGAACGGGUGAGUAACACGUGGGUGACCUGCCCUCAGCUCUGGGAUAAGCCUGGGAAACUGGGUCUAAUACCGGAUAUGACCUUGCCUCGCAUGGGGUGGGUGAAAGCCUGGUCUUAAUUGAUUCGGCGGCUGGGGAUGGGCCCGCGGCCUAUCAGCUUGUUGGGNGGGUGAU
rnacentral:rRNA from 1 species